CUCAAAAAAACCAUGUGUUAUCUUCAUCCAAAUUAUUUUUAUGUACAUAUAAGGAUCUAACCUCAUGUUUGUUUCCAAUAUGAUCUUUACGGUGUGGUUCCAUAAUUACAUAUAGGUACAAUAUUAUGAUGUGUAGAUACAAUUAUAUAGGCUUAUAAAUAACAAAACUAUUUUUCAACUUAACUAUUAUUCAUUAAAAUCUUUACAAUAACAACUACUCCAAAUACACUUUGAAUAUUUAGGAGGGGUACAAUAAUCAUAUGGACAGUCAUCGUCAUGAAUGCAAGAAUGAAAUUCUGCCAUGUAAAGUAAAAAUAAAGGAAUGUUAGUGAAAGGGAAUGAAUAAUUGUGAAUGUAAAAACAAAAAUAGAAAAGGGCCUUACCACCAUGGGUUAUAACAAGACAUAGAGAAAAAAAGAAAAUUAUAGCAUAAAUAAACUUCAAAGUUUGAUCCAUUUCCUCCGUUGCAUGUAACAAAAACAAAAUGUUCUUACAACUUUACAAUGUAAAAAACUAGU
rnacentral:lncRNA from 1 species